UACGGAGGGUGCAAGCGUUGUCCGGAAUCACUGGGCGUAAAGGGCGCGCAGGCGGCCACGCGCGUCCGUUGUGAAAUCGCUCGGCUCAACUGGGCGAGGUCAGCGGAUACGGCGUGGCUGGAGCAAGCUAGGGGGCAAUGGAAUUCCCGGUGUAGUGGUGGAAUGCGUAGAUAUCGGGAGGAACACCAGUGGCGAAGGCGGUUGCCUGGAGCUUUGCUGACGCUGAGGCGCGAAAGCGUGGGGAGCGAUCCGG
rnacentral:rRNA from 1 species